GUCGGUCUGGUUUGUGUAUUUCUGCAGGUCUUUACUUUACAAAAUAAAACUUCUGCUCGUGCAGACAAGAUUUCUGGUAAAAUAUUUCCACGUUUGUAAACAAGUUGUUGAGAAGAUCGCUUUGAAGUUUUUUGUUAACCUAGGAAAGUUAACUAGUUUUUUAACAACCAGCGAUAUGCAAGGCGUUUUGGCAUAUGGUGCUUUCCAGCCUUUUGUAUACAGCUAUUUCAAUUAAGG